UACGUAGGGUGCGAGCGUUGUCCGGAAUUAUUGGGCGUAAAGAGCUCGUAGGCGGUCUGUCGCGUCUGCUGUGAAAACUCAGGGCUUAACCCUGAGCUUGCAGUGGGUACGGGCAGACUAGAGUGCGGUAGGGGAGACUGGAAUUCCUGGUGUAGCGGUGAAAUGACGCAGAUAUCAGGAGGAACACCGGUGGCGAAGGCGGGUCUCUGGGCCGUAACUGACGCUGGAGGAGCGAAAGCUGGGGAGCGAACAGG
rnacentral:rRNA from 1 species